CCUAGGGCGGUCAGAUAAUACUGUUUAACUCGAGUACAAGAGAGGGUAGUGGAAUUUCCGGUGUAGCGGUGAAAUGCGUAGAGAUCGGAAGGAACACCAGUGGCGAAGGCGGCUACCUGGCUUGAUACUGACACUGAGGCACGAAAGCGAGGGGAGCAAACAGGAUUAGAUACCCUGGUAGUCCACGCCGUAAACGAUGUCAACUAGCUGUUGGA
rnacentral:rRNA from 1 species